rnacentral:tRNA from 1 species
UGGGGUGUCGCCAAGUGGUAAGGCUAUGGACUUUGACUCCGUCAUUCGUAGGUUCGAAUCCUGCCACCCCAG